UACAGAGGGGGCAAGCGUUAUUCGGAAUUAUUGGGCGUAAAGGGCGCGUAGGCGGCUUGGCAAGUGGAAGGUGAAAUCCCUCGGCUUAACCGAGGAACUGCCUUCCAGACUGCUUUGCUUGAGGCCGGGAGAGGUGAGUGGAAUUCCCAGUGUAGCGGUGAAAUGCGCAGAUAUCAGGAAGAACACCCGUGGCGAACGCGGCUCUCUGGAACGGUACUGACGCUGAGACGCGAAAGCGUGGGGAGCGAACAGG
rnacentral:rRNA from 1 species